rnacentral:rRNA from 1 species
CCUACGGUAGGCAGCAGUGGGGAAUAUUGGGCAAUGGAGGCAACUCUGACCCAGCAACGCCGCGUGAAUGAUGAAGGUCUUCGGAUUGUAAAGUUCUUUUCUAAGGGAAGAAGAAAGUGACGGUACCUUAGUCCUAAGCCUCGGCUAACUUCGUGCCCGCAGCCGCUGUAAUACGUAGGAGGCAAGCGUUAUCCGGAAUGACUGGGCGUAAAGGGUGCGUAGGUGGUUUGACAAGUUAGUAGCGCCACGCCGGAGAGCAACUUCGGAACUACUACUAAAACUGUUGGACUUGAGUGCAGGAGGGGCAAUCGGAAUUCCUGGUGUAGCGGUGGAAUGCGUAGAUAUUAGGAGGAACACCAGUGGCGAAGGCGGAUUGCUAGACUGUAACUGACACUGAGGCACGAAAGCGUGGGGAGCAAACAGGAUUAGAUACCCGAGUAGUC